GAGCUGAAGUUGGAGGCUUAACUGACUGAGCCACCCAGCUGCCAUCUGCUUCUCUAAAGCUCUGCCGUAGGUAAUUUCUCUGAGGGAAGCCUCUGAUGGAGUUGCUGACUAAAGCCGCCUGAGGCACUCACCAGUGCUGAGUCUCCUUUAACACCUUCAGCCUGACUGACUCCACAGGGUCUCAUCUGUUUCCUAAAAGCAAUGAAGAGUCCGCGAGAGUGAAGAGUACAUAUGUUGCCAUCUAUAGGGAGAACACAUUAUAAAAACUUUACUGUUUGGCGAAUGAACACUAUAAAACGUGAACAACAUUUUUUUUUACAUCUUCUACUCUUCCCAACUUCGCUUCCUUAAAUGUUUAAUUACUACCAUUUCUAUAACCAAUACUACCCACUUCUUACCAUGGAUUGCUGGCUACCAACAAGUAUAAGUUUUACUCUAUUAUGCUUUAAUGUCUAAAUUGUUAACAUUAUACGACUCUACCCGACAGCUGAAGAGGCUUUAGACACUGGAAGAUCUCUUGGCAGGUUCGGCUUCUUCCCCAGUCAAUGCUUCCUGGCUUUGACAUUGAGGUUGAAGGCUAAACCAAAACCUCCUAGCCACUUUUACCGGAAGAAUACUGGCUUGAGAGACUCCCACACUUACUCAGCGUAAAAGAGAUCUGAACCAACAACAGAGCUCACAGGAAGUAGGAGAAGGUCUGAAAUCAUGGACAUCGAUGUGGAGAGGUGUUUCAUCAAAGAAGGUGGUGUGAGAUUUAAAUGUCCCAGAGAGAUUGAAAAGAAAGAGAUCUGAUAAAUAUCUUUGUGAUUUAACAAGAAGGAAGCUAAUGAGUCAAAGGAGAGUAUAAUCAGCAUGUAUCAGGAGUUUGUUUGGAGAAUAAGAUCAUCUGCUAGGUUACUCUAAAAGGAUUUCAUGAAUAAAGUGAGUUCUAAACUGGUCUUUGAAAGAUACACCGUGGAAUACAUUCUUGGCGAUAUUCUCUAGGUGUGUGUCUGAGGUGGUGGCACAGAGUAGCCAGCUGUCUACCAACUCUGUGUCCUCCUCUCUUUGGACACUCUACUGCACCACAUUCGAUGACUCAGCUCUGAUCUGAGCCACUUCCAGGCAUGACCCAUAAUAAUCUUCAAUGUGUGAUUCCCCAUGUUUUCUUUCCUUUUGGAGCAUCUCUGGAAUCGACAUGUUAAAGAUGGCAGGGCCAUGGAGAGAAGGAUCCUGAAUCCCUGAAUCAUCACUUGGAGGAAGACCACGUGCCACAUGGGAAUACCUGUUUCGGGUUUUAAGUGAGCAAGCAAUAAACUUCUCUCAUAUUAAGGCAA